GAUGAAGAACGUAGCGAAACGCGAAAGGUAAUGCGAAUUGCAGAAUCAGUGAGUCAUCGAAUCUUUGAACGCACAUUGCGCCCUGUGGUAUUCCGCAGGGCAUGCCUGUUCGAGCGUCAUUUCAACCCUCAAGCUCUGCUUGGUGUUGGGCCCUGCCCGCUGCGGCCGGCCCUAAAGACAGUGGCGGUGCCGCCUGGCCCUGAGCGUAGCACAUCUCUCGCUCCAGUGCCCGGUGGUAGCCUGCCAGAACCCCAACUCUCGUGGUUGACCUCGGAUCAGGUAGGGAUACCCGCUGAACUUAAGCAUAUCAAUAAGCGGAGGA
rnacentral:misc_RNA from 1 species